AACUAGCAUAUCAUAAGCGGAGGAAAAGAAACUAACAGGAUUCCCCUAGUAACUGCGAGUGAAGCGGGAAAAGCUCAAAUUUAAAAUCUGGUGGCCUUUGGUCAUCCGAGUUGUAAUUUAGAGAAGCGUCUUCCGCGCUGGACCGUGCACAAGUCUCCUGGAAUGGAGCGUCGUAGAGGGUGAGAAUCCCGUCUUUGGCACGGAYGCCCAGUGCUUCUGUGAUGCGCUCUCGAAGAGUCGAGUUGUUUGGGAAUGCAGCUCAAAAUGGGUGGUGAACUCCAUCUAAAGCUAAAUAUUGGCGAGAGACCGAUAGCGAACAAGUACCGUGAGGGAAAGAUGAAAAGCACUUUGGAAAGAGAGUGAAACAGUACGUGAAAUUGUUGAAAGGGAAACGCUUGAAGUCAGUCGCGUCGUCCGAGACUCAGCCUCGCCUCGGCUUGGUGUACUUCUCGGCCGACGGGUCAGCAUCAAUUUUGCCCCUUGGAUAAUGGCGAGGGAAAUGUGACACCUUUGCGGGUGUGUUAUAGUCUCUAGUCGCAUGCAAGGGUCGGGAUUGAGGAACUCAGCACGCGCCUUCGGGCGUCGGGGUUCGCCCACGAUACGUGCUUAGGAUGUUGGCGUAAUGGCUUUAAACGACCCGUCUUGAAACACGGACCAAGGAGUCUAACAUGCCCGCGAGUGUUCGGGUGGAAAACCCGUGCGCGCAAUGAAAGUGAAAGUUGGGACCUCCGUCGUGGAGGGCACCAACGCCCGGACCAGACCUUCUGUGACGGAUCUGCGGUAGAGCGUGUAUGUUAGGACCCGAAAGAUGGUGAACUAUGCCUGAAUAGGGUGAAGCCAGAGGAAACUCUGGUGGAGGCUCGUAGCGAUUCUGACGUGCAAAUCGAUCGUCAAAUUUGGGUAUAGGGGCGAAAGACUAAUCGAACCAUCUAGUAGCUGGUUCUUGCCGAAGUUUCCCUCAGGAAAGANAAAACAAGCUACAAAUGUUCGAAUAAUCUU
rnacentral:rRNA from 1 species